AACACAAAUUUCACAAGCACAAGUUCAUCAUAGGAUUACAAGCAUGGGUGCAUUGGUCAAUGAGGCCUCCAAUAUCGCAGAGCAAAGCAACAUUGAGAACAGUAGCCGAGCCCAGAGGACCCAAUGGGUGCUUAAUGCUCCUAACCCACCUAGUCUGUGGCGUGAGUUUGUGGAAUCGAUUAAAGACAACUUUUUCAUUGAUCAUGGAAGCAUGUUCUCCUCCUCUUCAACACAGAAACAAAGAUGGAGAUUUGCUAUUUGGGUCUUCAGGGUCUUCAGGGCUUUGUUUCCAGUCUUUGAUUGGGGUCGGAGUUACAAGCUCUCAAAGUUCAAGAGCGAUUUAAUGGCUGGCCUUACUCUGGCAAGUCUCAGCAUUCCACAGAGCAUUGGAUAUGCUAAUCUAGCAAAGCUUGAUCCACAGUAUGGGCUAUAUACUAGUGUUGUCCCACCUGUGAUCUAUGCUUUAAUGGGGAGCUCAAGAGAGAUAGCCAUUGGACCUGUGGCUGUGAUCUCUCUGCUUUUAUCUUCCAUGGCUCAGAAAAUAGUGGAUCCUGUGAGUGACCCAAUUGGUUACAGAAAGCUUAUCUUUACUGCAACUUUCUUUGCUGGCACAUUUCAAGCUGCUUUUGGAUUCUUCAGGUUUGGAUUUCUUGUGGAUUUCCUCUCACAUGCUGCCAUUGUUGGGUUCAUGGGAGGUGCAGCCAUUGUCAUAUCUCUGCAACAAAUGAAGGGACUACUUGGGAUUAGUCACUUCACUGAUAAAACAGAUGUGAUCUCUGUCAUUGAGGUUGUUUGGAGAUCAAUUCAUACUUCAUGGAACCCUUUGAACUUUCUAAUUGGAUGUUCUUUCUUGAUUUUCAUCCUGAUGAUCAGAUAUUUGGGAAGAAGGAACAGGAAAUUCUUCUGGUUACCAGCAAUUGCUCCUCUCAUAUCUGUCAUCUUAUCAACUCUCAUAGUGUUCCUGACAAGAGCAGAUAAGCAUGGAGUUAAGAUACUAAAGCACAUCAAAAGAGGCUUGAAUCCCAGUUCAGCAGGUCAGCUACAGCUAAAAGGCCCACUUGUGGGAGAGGCUGCUAAGAUUGGAUUGAUUUCUGCCAUUAUCGCUCUCACGGAAGCAAUGGCUGUUGGGAGAUCAUUCGCAACCAUAAGAGGGUACCAUCUUGAUGGGAACAAGGAAAUGGUGGCCAUGGGGAUGAUGAACGUUGCAGGAUCUUUAACUUCAUGUUAUGUAUCAACAGGCUCCUUCUCUCGGACGGCCGUCAAUUUUAGCUCCGAAUGCCAGACGGUGUUGUCAAAUGUUGUGAUGGCGGUGACGGUGCUCAUAUCAUUAGAAUUGUUUACUAGACUCUUAUAUUUCACUCCCACUGCCAUCCUUGCUUCCGUAAUCCUAUCUGCACUGCCGGGACUAAUUGACAUCAGAGAAGCUUACAAUAUAUGGAGGGUGGACAAACUGGACUUCCUUGCUUGCAUUGGAGCCUUUUUUGGAGUGUUGUUUGCAUCAGUUGAGAUUGGUCUUCUAACGGCAGUAACCAUCUCCUUUAUGAAGAUCCUACUAAUUGCCAUCAGACCACAUACAGAAGUCCUUGGGAGGCUCCCUGGCUCUGAUAUUUUCUGCAGCAUUACUCAAUACCCAAUUGCUGUUAAGAUUCCUGGCGUCCUCACAAUCCGCAUUCACUCUAACUUUCUUUGUUUUGCCAAUUCCAAUUUCGUAAGAGAAAGGAUAAUUAGGUGGGUGAUAGAUGAAGAAAAAGAAGUGAAAGAAACAAAAGGGAGCAUUCAAGUAGUAAUCCUUGACUUAUCUGGUAUUUUCUAAUCUGAUGAACAUUGACACAUCAGGGAUUCAAGCUUUAGAAGAACUGCAAAAGAAGUUGGUUUCUCAAGGUAUAGAGUUAGCCCUAGCCAGCCCUUGUUCGCAAGUGAUUCACAAGUUAAAAUUAUUUAAGUUUGUCGAGAAGAUUGAAGGAAGAGUCUUCCUUACGAUGGGUGAAGCUGUUGAUGGCAUAUGUUGCGGGUCUAAGAUGGUUGGCCCCUAAGAGCUAGAGGCAAAGCUAUGUGAUUUGAUAUUAUAACCAUAUGACGUAAACCAAAUAAGACAAAGAGUAACUAUCUAUAUGAUAUUGAGUUUUUAAUUAUGAUGUGUUAUA